rnacentral:tRNA from 1 species
GGGAAUGUAGUUAAAAAUAACAUUUAAUUUGCAAUUAAAAGGUAUCUUCAGGAUCUUUCUCA